rnacentral:rRNA from 1 species
UACGUAGGUGGCAAGCGUUGUCCGGAAUUACUGGGCGUAAAGGGUGCGUAGGCGGAUUAUUAAGUGGGAUGUGAAAUGCCGGGGCUCAACCCCGGAAUGGCAUUCCAAACUGGUGAUCUGGAGUGCAGGAGAGGAAAGCGGAAUUCCUAGUGUAGCGGUGAAAUGCGUAGAUAUUAGGAAGAACACCAGUGGCGAAGGCGGCUUUCUGGACUGUAACUGACGCUGAGGCACGAAAGCGUGGGGAGCAAACAGG